CAGUGUGUGUGAGGCCUGGGCUCUGGCUGAGCAUACCUUCCUGGGGUUGGGAGAAACGCAGUGAGGACUCAGUUCAGGGCCCUCAUAGGCCCAGCUGGCGGCAUCACAGAGCCCUGAGCCAGCUGGGUACUGACAGCAACGGAGGGGACCUGCAAGGGAGAAGCUCUGGAUAGCAGAGCCUCCCUACUCCCUGCCUUCUGGCUGCUCCACAGGGCCUGGGUGGGGUGAUAAGACUGGAGGAAGUGGCUCUUGCAGCGUAAGUGUCCGCAAGAUAGUCCUUUGUGGGUGAUGACUGAUGGCUGAGGAAAGAAAAGAGGAAUCAGGCCUUAUGUGCCGCUAGCACACAGUGCACCCACCGACCACACCUUCAAUUUCCAGCUGCUGAUAGGGUCUCUCCUCCUCACCCUUUGCCCCCUUUGCCUUUUUCUUCCCCUCUGUCUUAUAUGUUAGGCCUUGCACAUAAAGAAUCUCAUUUUUCCCCCAGCACUUUGGGAGGCCAAGGUGGACGGAUCACCCAAGGUCAGGAGUUCAAGACCAGCCUGGCCAACAUGGGAAGGAACAAAUUACAAGGAGGGGAAUCUGCUCCCACCCUAGCAUUGAACCCACUGGCUGUCCACAGGACCCCCUCCAGCCUCGACUUCCCUCAGGAGGCCUGCAUACAUCCAAUAAGAUGACUUAAGCUGGCAAAGUAGCUUAUGGACACACAAAACCUGAACCGAGGCUGAAUUUGGGUAUUAAUAUUUUGUUAGACGCUUGAAUUCCCUUAGUCUCUCCUGGCCCACACCCACUAGUGGUUGUUCCAACUCACCGUUUUCCUAACACUUGCAAUAACUUACAGUUUAUUUUGAGAUACCAGGUCCAAACAAUUUUCUUUAAGCAACGACCCAGUCUUGCUCUUUAAUUUAGGAAAUUUUCAUACCAUACUGUUCGGUUAAAAAAAUGAAUAGUUUUUAAGAGUUAAAAGUAGAUUUCUAAUACUUUUCAAUUUUGUGUUUGUGAUCUUCAUUAUAAGUAAAAAUAAAUUUUAAAGACCAUUUAUUCA